ACCUUGCAGGAGUGGGAAUGAGA
rnacentral:piRNA from 1 species